ensembl:rRNA 5S_rRNA 5S ribosomal RNA
GCCAGCAGCUAGCUCUCUGCGACUCUGACAUGAUCACCCGCAGAAGCUAAGCAGGGCUGCACCCGGUCAGUACUGGAAUGGGAGACCACAUGGAAAAGCUAGGUUGCUGCCAGAA